GAGAGGCUAUAAGCGGGAUGAUGAAUCCGACCAUGAUGGUGUUGCAGAAAUUUAUGUAUGAUGUAGUUAUUGUCCAGGGAUCGAAACACCAUCAUGGUCAGAUCCGUCAUCCCACUUAUGUUUUCUU
rfam:Arabidopsis thaliana chromosome 1, complete sequence.